GAUGAACGCUGGCGGCGCGCCUAAUACAUGCCAGUCGAGCGAACAGACGAGGAGCUUGCUCCUUUGACGUUAGCGGCGGACGGGUGAGUAACACGUGGGUAACCUACCUAUAAGACUGGGAUAACUUCGGGAAACCGGAGCUAAUACCGGAUAAUAUUUCGAACCGCAUGGUUCGAUAGUGAAAGAUGGCUUUGCUAUCACUUAUAGAUGGACCUGCGCCGUAUUAGCUAGUUGGUAAGGUAACGGCUUACCAAGGCAACGAUACGUAGCCGACCUGAGAGGGUGAUCGGCCACACUGGAACUGAGACACGGUCCAGACUCCUACGGGAGGCAGCAGUAGGGAAUCUUCCGCAAUGGGCGAAAGCCUGACGGAGCAACGCCGCGUGAGUGAUGAAGGUCUUCGGAUCGUAAAACUCUGUUAUUAGGGAAGAACAAACGUGUAAGUAACUGUGCACGUCUUGACGGUACCUAAUCAGAAAGCCACGGCUAACUACGUG
rnacentral:rRNA from 1 species